GGAAUAUUGGGCAAUGGGCGAAAGCCUGACCCAGCAACGCCGCGUGAGGGAAGAAGGUUUUCGGAUUGUAAACCUCUGUUGUGGAUGACGAAGGAAGUGACGGUAAUCCACAAGGAAGCCCCGGCUAACUACGUGCCAGCAGCCGCGGUAAUACGUAGGGGGCGAGCGUUGUCCGGAAUGACUGGGCGUAAAGGGCGCGUAGGCGGUCUGGUAAGUUAGGAGUGAAAUUCCAUUUUUCAAGGAUGGAACUGCUUUUAAUACUGCCGGGCUUGAGUGCAGAAGAGGUAAGCGGAAUUCCCAGUGUAGCGGUGAAAUGCGUAGAGAUUGGGAAGAACACCAGUGGCGAAGGCGGCUUACUGGGCUGUAACUGACGCUGAGGCGCGAAAGCGUGGGGAGCGAACA
rnacentral:rRNA from 1 species